rnacentral:lncRNA from 1 species
AGCAGACGCGGUGUUACAUGAGUACUGAGAGUUGAGUAGAACUCUCUGGAUGUGUUCAGAUAGUGUAAUUGCUACAUUCUCUGAUGUAGUUAAGUAUUUACAGAUGUUAAAUGGAGUAUUUUUAUUUUAUGUACAUACUCUACAACUAUGUUCUUUUUUGUUACAGCUAUGCACUGUAAAUGCAGCCUUCUUUUCAAAACUGCUAAAUUUUUCUUAAUCAAGAAUAUUCAAAUGUAAUUAUGAGGUGAAACAAUUAUUGUACACUAACAUAUUUAGAAGCUAAACUUACUGCUUAUAUAUAUUUGAUUGUAAAAAAAAAAAAAAACAAAACCAACAAAACAAAAGACAGUGUGUGUGUGUGUGUCCGUUGAGUGCAAGUCCAACAAAAUGGCGCUUCACGCACAUCCAUCCCUUCUUAGGUGAGCUUCAAUCUAAGCAUCUUGUCAACAACAACAAAAAUCCUAGGCCCCUCAAGGUAUUAACCACUUCUGCAAUAUUUUUCCACAUUUUCUUGUUGCUUGUUUUUCUUUGAAGUUUUAUACACUGGAUUUGUUAGGGGAAUGAAAUUUUCUCAUCUAAAAUUUUUCUAGACAAUAUCAUGAUUUUAUGUAAAGUCUCUCAAUGGGGAACCAUUAAGAAAUGUUUUUAUUUUCUCUAUCAACAGUAGAUUUGAAACUAGAGGUCAAAAAAAAUCUUUUUAAAAUGCUGUUUUGUUUUAAUUUUUGUGAUUUUAAUUUGAUACAAAAUGCUGAGGUAAUAAUUACAGUAUGAUUUUUACAAUAGUCAAUGUGUGUCUGAAGACUAUCUUUGAAGCCAGUAUCUCUUUCCCUUGGCAGAGUAUGAUGAUGGUAUUUAAUCUGUAUUUUUUACAGUUAUACAUCCUGUAAAAUACUGAUAUUUCAUUCCUUUGUUUACUAAAGAGACAUAUUUAUCAGUUGCAGAUAGCCUAUUUAUUAUAAAUUAAGAGAUGAUGAAAAUAAUAAGGUCAGUGGAGACUUUCUACCCAGGGUGCAUGGCAGUUGUCAGGCUGGAGUGUACCUUCUUCGUUUGGGAAACUCAGCUCUCGCAGAAGCAGUGUUCCAUCUUUCACUAGCAUGGCCUCUGAUACGACCAUGGUGUUGUUCUUGGUGACAUUGCUUCUGCUAAAUUUAAUAUUAAUAAUAAUAAAUGUC